rnacentral:rRNA from 1 species
UACGUAGGGGGCAAGCGUUGUCCGGAUUUAUUGGGCGUAAAGAGCGUGUAGGCGGUUAGGUAGGUCCGUUGUGAAAACUCGAGGCUCAACCUCGAGACGCCGAUGGAAACCAUCUGACUAGAGUCCGGAAGAGGAGAGUGGAAUUCCUGGUGUAGCGGUGAAAUGCGCAGAUAUCAGGAAGAACACCCGUGGCUAAGGCGGCUCUCUAGUACGGUACUGACGCUGAGGCGCGAAAGCGUGGGGAGCAAACAGG